AGCAGCCGCGGUAAUUCCAGCUCCAAUAGCGUAUAUUAAAGUUGUUGCAGUUAAAAAGCUCGUAGCUGAAUUUCGGGAUCAAUAUAUCGGUCGUGCCUCGGUACGUACUGGCAUUGUUGGUUUCUCCCUUCUGACGAACCAUGAUGUCAUUUAUUUGGUGUCAUGGGAAAUCAGGACUGUUACUUUGAAAAAAUUAGAGUGUUUAAAGCAGGCUCACGCUUGAAUACAUUAGCAUGGAAUAAUGAAAUAGGACGUUUGAUUCUAUUUUGUUGGUUUCUAGGAUCGACGUAAUGAUUAAUAGGGAUAGUUGGGGGCAUUAGUAUUCAAUUGUCAGAGGUGAAAUUCUUGGAUUUAUUGAAGACUAACUACUGCGAAAGCAUUUGCCAAGGAUGUUUUCAUUAAUCAAGAACGAAAGUUAGGGGAUCGAAGACGAUCAGAUACCGUCGUAGU
rnacentral:rRNA from 1 species